UACGGAGGGUGCAAGCGUUGUUCGGAAUUACUGGGCGUAAAGCGCGUGUAGGCGGCCGCCUAAGUCUGGUGUGAAAGCCCGGGGCUUACCCCCGGAAGUGCACUGGAUACUGGGCGGCUAGAGUACCGGAGAGGAGGGUGGAAUUCCUGGUGUAGCGGUGAAAUGCGUAGAUAUCAGGAAGAACACCGGUGGCGAAGGCGGCCCUCUGGACGGAUACUGACGCUGAGACACGAAAGCGUGGGGAGCAAACAGG
rnacentral:rRNA from 1 species